rnacentral:rRNA from 1 species
UACGGAGGGGGCAAGCGUUGUUCGGAAUUACUGGGCGUAAAGGGCGCGCAGGCGGCUGCUCAAGUCAGGCGUGAAAGGCCUGGGCUCAACCCGGGAAUUGCGCUUGAGACUGGGCUGGCUUGAGUGCGGGAGAGGAUGGUGGAAUUCCCAGUGUAGAGGUGAAAUUCGUAGAUAUUGGGAGGAACACCGGUGGCGAAGGCGGAUCUCUGGGCCUUACCUGACGCUCAGGUGCGAAAGCUAGGGGAGCAACAG